rnacentral:misc_RNA from 1 species
GAAAUGCGAUAAGUAAUGUGAAUUGCAGAAUUCAGUGAAUCAUCGAAUCUUUGAACGCACCUUGCGCUCCUUGGUAUUCCUUGGAGCAUGCCUGUUUGAGUAUCAUGAAAUCUUCAAAGUAAAUCUUUUGUUAACUAAUUGGUUUCUACUUUGGUAUUGGAGGUCUUUGCAGCUUCACACCUGCUCCUCUUUGUUCAUUAGCUGGAUCUCAGUGUUAUGCUUGGUUCCACUCGGCGUGAUAAGUUAUCUAUCGCUGAGGACACUGUAAAAGGUGGCCAAGGUAAAUGCAGAUGAACCGCUUCUAAUAGUCCAUUGACUUGGACAAUACUUUUAUGAUCUGAUCUCAAAUCAGGUAGGACUACCCGCUGAACUUAAGC